CCUACGGGAGGCAGCAGUGAGGAAUAUUGGUCAAUGGGCGGAAGCCUGAACCAGCCAAGUCGCGUGAGGGAAUAAGGCCCUACGGGUCGUAAACCUCUUUUGCCGGGGAGCAAGGUCGGGGACGUGUCCCGUCCCGUAGAGUCCCCGUAGAAAAAGCCUCGGCUAACGCCUUGCCAGCAGCCGCGUUAAUACGGAGGAUGCGAGCGUUAUCCGGGUUAAUUGGGUUUAAAGGGUGCUUAGGCGGGGUUUUAAGUCAGCGGUAAAAAUUCGGGGCUCACCCCGGUCCGGCCGUUGAAACUGGGGGGCUGGAGUGGGCGAGAAGAAGGCGGAAUGCGUGGUGUAGCGGUGAAAUGCAUAGAUAUCACGCAGAACCCCGAUUGCGAAGGCAGCCUACCGGAGCGCGACUGACGCUGAGGCACGAAAGUGCGGGGAUCGAACAGGAUUAGAUACCCUUGUAGUC
rnacentral:rRNA from 1 species